rnacentral:rRNA from 1 species
UACGUAGGGGGCCAGCGUUGUCCGGAAUCAUUGGGCGUAAAGCGCGCGUAGGCGGCCAGAUAAGUCCGGUGUGAAAGUCAAAGGCUCAACCUUUGAAUGCCGCUGGAAACUGCCUGGCUUGAGUCCGGAAGGGGCGAGUGGAAUUCCUGGUGUAGCGGUGAAAUGCGCAGAUAUCAGGAGGAACACCAAUUGCGAAGGCAGCUCGCUGGAACGUAACUGACGCUGAGACGCGAAAGCUAGGGGAGCAAACGGG